UCGUUUCUGUUUUCUAACUAUAGUUUGCCUCAACCAAAUGUUAUGAAACUUAUAUACAAUGCUUAUUACCACAAAACACAGAUCAAGUUUGAAUUUUGGUGGCGUCACUGUAACUGUUCUAGAGUUAUGCCCCUUUAGAAAUGGAAAAAUUGCAAAAUUUUUAUUUUCUUCUAAAUAUCAAGUAAUUUUUAUACGACCGCAAAAAUUAAAAAUUUUUUGGUCGUAUAUUGGUAUGACGUUGGCGUCGUCGUCGUCCGGCGUCUCCGGCGUCGUCCUGCGUCGUCCGAAGACACAUUGGUUUUAGCACUCUAACUUUAGUUUAAGUGAAUGGAUCUCCAUGAAAUUUUACCAUAAGGUUCAAUACCACAAAAGGAAGGUUGGGAUUGAUUUUGGGGGUUAUGGUAAUAACAGUAAAGGAAUUAGGGGCCAAAAAGGGGCCAAAAAUAAGCAUUUUUGUAACUUCCAGACAUAACUUGUGUGUUAGUGUAUGGAUCUCUCUGACAUUGUACCACAAGGUUCCAUAUCACUAAAGGAAUACUGGGAUUGAUUUUGGGGGUAAUUGCCUCCAAAUUUUAGGAAUUAGGGGCCAAAAAAGGGGCAAAAAACAAGCAUUUUUCUAGUUUCAUGACAAUAACUUGUGUGUAAGUGUAUGGAUCUUUCUGAAAUUGUACUACAAGGUUCCAUAUCACAAAGGGAAAGCUGGGUUUGAGUUUGGGGGUAAUUGCCCUAAACGUUUAGGAAUUUGGGGCCAAAAAGGGGCCAAAAAACACAUUUUUUUCUAGUUUCCAGACAAUAACUUGUGUUCAAGUGUAUGGAUCUCUCUGAAAUUGUACUGCAAGGUACCAUACCACAAAGGGAUGGCUGGGAUUGAGUUUGGGGGUGAUGAAUCAUAAUGGGGGUUCAAAAAAUUUUGGGGGGGGAUUUAUUUUUUUUUCCUUUUUUUUCUUUUUUUCCUUUUUUGUUUCUUUUAAAAUUUUCCAUUUUAAGUUGGUUAUUUCUGAUUUAUAUUUAAAAUCAAAUAAUAAUGAUAUGGUAGGAGAUACACACCAAACAGGAUGUGUAAAUU